GACACCUAUUCCUGAUGGGCCACAGACUCCAGCCUCCCAAUGAGGCAGGUUUCCUCAGCCUCCUGCUCCUUGUUGUGUCACCGUCCGCUGAUGCCCUUCGUGACUUCUGUGAGGUCAACCCCUUCCCAUCUGGGGACACUUCUCCUUCCACCUGUCCCUGGACCUGAGCCAGCUGUGUGACCGGCCUCUUCCCACCUGGGGUCAGAGGGCCACCUGAACUGCUGCGCAACAGGCUUUAAAAACGGGUCCUGACCAGCCAACGGUGCUCGCCUGUUGAGACAGCCACAAAGGCGCGUCCUUUUCUCAGUCCGGCAAGCUACGCCGCUCCUCUCUCUGCCAGACGACGUAAGAACGACUAGUACCUCUCCAUCGAGGAACGCCGGCCCCCUGCAUCAGGACCGGACCAGCCCAGCUGCCAGACCCCAGAGGACGGCACCACCGGGAUCCCCAUUAAGCCUGUACCUGCAGCAUCAGGAACUUGUGCCUGCCCUUGGUCCUGCUUGUGUAGAGCAGCCUCUUUGCUAGCAACUACUUGAAUGUCCCACACCUGCACGGUUAGUUUAUCUCAAGGGAUGCCUUAGAGAUAAACACCCCUGAUCCUUUCCUGGGAUCUACUUGGGACGCCUGGGUUUCGCUGUGAAGGUGAAGGGCAGCCGGUGGCCGGCUGCAGAUCCCGGCCCAGGAAGGUGCGCAGCCCCCGCCGGGACACGGGGUUUUCGCUGAGCGCCAUUCUGGCUAUUGACAGCGCCUGCAGGGGUCUCCCUGGGACAGCCAAGUCUCCUGUCGCUGAGCCGAGGCACCUCCUGCUCCAGGCAGAACCUGGAAAAUAUCCAGCGAGGGUGGCCUGGACGGAGGAGGAGGGAAUCUGGCAGACUUAACCUCUCAGUGCCGUCAGGAAGUAGCUGGUUUCAGCAUCUUCUGUCCCCAUAACGACGAUGCCAACUUCCCGCCAGACACCAGAAGGUAAACACACUGCCAAGGACCUUCCUAGGGAGUGGUUGGCCCAUGGCAACCACAAGGCUGCACCUUAAAAGCAGUCCUCGCUGGCCGCUGCUAUUUGUGGGAUACUGCCUAUGCGAUAAGGGCUGUGGGUUACCAGAGGCCCCGAAAAUGUGAAGACAACUUUCUGGCUUUGUGAGGCAAGAGUUGGUGUACCGCUUCACUCCUUAUUUGGCCACCUUGUAACAGUAACAGUUGAGGGGGUGGAAGGAAGAGGCAGGAGAAAGGAGGAGAAAGGGUAACAUCUCAUGUUUGUGGAUUGGAAAACUUAAUACUCUUACAAUGGCAGUAUUCCCCAAAAUUGAUCUACAGAUUCAACACAACUCCUAUCAAAGUUUCAACUGAAUGCUCUCCAAAUUAGACAAGUUUAUCAUAAAAUUUGUAUGGAAAUUUAAGAAACUGAGAGUAGCCAAAGCAAUAUUUUAAAAGAAUAACACCACCAAGCCGGUGUGGUUCAGUGGUUGAGCAUCAACCUAUGAACCAGGAG